rnacentral:tRNA from 1 species
UGCCCGAUGGUGUAAUGGCAGCACUAAUGAUUUUGAUUCAUUCAGUCCAGGUUCGAAUCCUGGUUGGGCAA